AGUGAACGCUGGCGGUAGGCCUAACACAUGCAAGUCGAACGGCAGCCCAGUAAGAGCUUGCUCUUACGGGUGGCGGGUGGCGGACGGGUGAGGAAUACGUCGGAAUCUACUUUUUCGUGGGGGAUAACGUAGGGAAACUUACGCUAAUACCGCAUACGACCUACGGGUGAAAGCAGGGGAUCUUCGGACCUUGCGCGAUUGAAUGAGCCGAUGUCGGGUUAGCUAGGUGGCGGGGUAAAGGCCGACCAAGGCGAGGAUCCGUAGCUGGUCUGAGAGGAUGAUCAGCGACACUGGAAGUGAGACACGGGCCAGACUCCUACGGGAGGCAGCAGUGGGGAAUAUUGGACAAUGGGCGCAAGCAUGAUCCAGCCAUACCGCGUGGGUGAAGAAGGCCUUCGGGUUGUAAAGCACUUUUGUUGGGAAAGAAAAGCAGCAGGUUAAUACCCCGCUGUUCUGACGGUACCUAAAGAAUAAGCACCGGCUAACUUCGUG
rnacentral:rRNA from 1 species